rnacentral:rRNA from 1 species
GACGAACGCUGGCGGCGUGCUUAACACAUGCAAGUCGAACGGAAAGGCCCUGCUUUUGUGGGGUGCUCGAGUGGCGAACGGGUGAGUAACACGUGAGUAACCUGCCCUUGACUUUGGGAUAACUUCAGGAAACUGGGGCUAAUACCGGAUAGGAGCUCCUGCUGCAUGGUGGGGGUUGGAAAGUUUCGGCGGUUGGGGAUGGACUCGCGGCUUAUCAGCUUGUUGGUGGGGUAGUGGCUUACCACGGCUUUGACGGGUAGGCGGCCUGAGAGGGUGACCGGGCAAAGGGGGACAGAGAUACGGGAGGGAGGCGUGAGGAAGAGAGGAGUAGGGAAGAAAGAAGAAUGCGGGGAUGCCGGAUGCAGCAAGCCGGGGCGAUGGAUGGUGAACGGCUGGUAGAAAAGAGCUAUCGCCGGUGACGGAGGGGGCGUGACGGUACUGUAGAAAGAAGAACCGGCUAACUACGUG